rnacentral:rRNA from 1 species
GAUGAACGCUGGCGGCGUGCCUAAUACAUGCAAGUCGAGCGAACGGACGAGAAGCUUGCUUCUCUGAUGUUAGCGUCGGACGGGUUAGUAACACGUGGAUAACCUACCUUUAAGACUGGGAUAACUUCGGGACAUCGGAGCUAAUAUCUGAUUAUAUUUUGAACCGCAUGGUUCAACAUUUAAUGUCGGUCUUUUUUUUACUUAUAGAUGGUUCCGCGCUGCAUUAGCUAGUUGGUAAGGUAACGGCUUACCAAGGCAACGAUGCAUAGCCGACCUGAGAGGGUGAUCGGCCACACUGGAACUGAGACACGGUCCAGACUCCUACGGGAGGCAGCAGUAGGGAAUCUUCCGCAAAGGGCGAAAGCCUGACGGAGCAACGCCGCGUGAGUGAUGAAGGUCUUCGGAUCGUAAAACUCUGUUAUUAGGGAAGAACAUAUGUGUAAGUAACUGUGCACAUCUUGACGGUACCUAAUCAGAAAGCCACGGCUAACUACGUG